AGGUCCUCCUGGGCCACCAGGUCCACCUGGCAAGCGGGGGAAACGUGGCAAAAAAGGUGAUCCAGGCGAGAAAGGAGAACCGGGUAUGAAUGGCAUCAAUGGCGAAAAAGGUGCCCCAGGCAGACCGGGUGAAAAGGGCUCCAAAGGAGAUGUCGGUCAUCCGGGUAUUGAUGUUUUCCAAACAGUCAAGGGCCUUAAACGAUCUGUAACAACGUUACAUGGUGGUACUUUAGGCUAUGCGGAAAUUGUUGCAGUCAAGGGUUUACAAGAAGCCGGUGUUAAUGUUUCAACGGCAACUGUAAUACAAUUGAAGG